rnacentral:snoRNA from 1 species
CAGCAGUGAUGAAUAAUUAUUUUUGUGCCGGAGACGCUAGCCGUCGGUGAUGGCGCUAAUACCUCUAAGAAGUUCUGAGCUU